AUGCAGCCGGGCAGAGAUGGUUGCGACUUCCACCGGUGGCAAGAAGCAUACGCGGAACAUCUGGCUUCGCUUGGACCGGCGGCACCUCCAUUGGCACAAAUCAAUGCAGACGAGAACGAAAUUGGGGGAGCAAAUCAAGGUGGUCAUCUGCAGGCGGCGGAUGGCGAGGCCGGAAACCAGGGCGGAGGAUCGGAUGGGUCGCAGAUGUCGGCUGCAGGCGGUGCUGGAGGAUCUGUGCUUGAUGCGGCGGCAAGCGGCGCUGGAGGAUAUGUGCUUGGUGCGGCGGUGGUUGGCCGGCGUCCGGCUACUGUCGCACUGGACCCCGCAUCUAUCAAUCUGGUUGUUUCUGUGGGAAACAUGGUCAUUUGCAUCGCCAUCCUUGUACUGGUUGCAGCUUCAAGCAUGAUGCGUGUGUUUGAUUAG
rnacentral:rRNA from 1 species